UACGGAAGGCAGCAGUGGGGAAUAUUGCACAAUGGGCGCAAGCCUGAUGCAGCCAUGCCGCGUGUAUGAAAAGGCCUUCGGGUUGUAAAGUACUUUCAGUCGUGAGGAAGGUGUUAAGGUUAAUAACCUUAGCAAUUGACGUUAGCGACAGAAGAAGCACCGGCUAACUCCGUGCCAGCAGCCGCGGUAAUACGGAGGGUGCGAGCGUUAAUCGGAAUUACUGGGCGUAAAGGGCACGCAGGCGGUUAAAUUAAGUUGGAUGUGAAAUCCCCGGGCUUAAACCUGGGAAUGGCAUUUCAAAGACUGGUUAGCUAGAGUCUUGUAGAGGGGGUAGAAUUCCAUGUGUAGCGGUGAAAUGCGUAGAGAUGUGGAGGAAUACCGGUGGCGAAAGGCGGCCCCUGGACAAAAGACUGACGCUCAUGUGCGAAAAGCGUGGGGAGCAAAAACAGGGAUUAAGAUACC
rnacentral:rRNA from 1 species